rnacentral:rRNA from 1 species
UACAGAGGUCUCAAGCGUUGUUCGGAUUCAUUGGGCGUAAAGGGUGCGUAGGCGGCGCGGUAAGUCGGGUGUGAAAUCUCGGGGCUUAACUCCGAAACUGCAUUCGAUACUGCCGUGCUUGAGGACUGGAGAGGAGACUGGAAUUCCUGGUGUAGCAGUGAAAUGCGUAGAUAUCAGGAGGAACGCCAAUGGCGAAGGCAAGUCUCUGGACAGUUCCUGACGCUCAUGCACGAAGGCCAGGGGAGCAAACGGG